rnacentral:rRNA from 21 species
GAUUCAUGACUGGGGUGAAGUCGUAACAAGGUAACCGUAGGGGAACCUGCGGUUGGAUCACCUCCUUA